CGGAUUCAUUUUUGACGUUUCCCCAUGCGGUCUAUCCUUGAUAUGUUCAUCCCAGCCGAUGACAGAUAUUCUCCCUUUGUGGUUUUCUACCCAGUAAAAAGGUAGUUGUAAUAUCUAUUUUAUUCCCUAGGGAGUUAAUCCUUGAUAUGUUCAUCUUAACCAAUGACGAAUUUUCUCCUCUCUUCGGUCUUCUGCCGAGUAACCGGUAGUUGUAAAUCCUGCUUUCCC
rnacentral:lncRNA from 1 species